UACGGAGGAUGCAAGCGUUAUCCGGAAUGAUUGGGCGUAAAGCGUCCGCAGGUGGCAAUGUAAGUCUGCUGUUAAAGAGUGAGGCUCAACCUCAUAAGAGCAGUGGAAACUACAUAGCUAGAGUGCGUUCGGGGCAAAGGGAAUUCCUGGUGUAGCGGUGAAAUGCGUAGAUAUCUGGAGGAACACCGGUGGCGAAGGCGGCGUUCUGGACUGCAACUGACACUGAGGAACGAAAGCCAGGGGAGCAAACGGG
rnacentral:rRNA from 1 species